GACGAACGCUGGCGGCGUGCUUAACACAUGCAAGUCGAACGGAAAGGCCUCUUUCGGGGGGUACUCGAGUGGCGAACGGGUGAGUAACACGUGAGUAACCUGCCCUUGACUUUGGGAUAACUUCAGGAAACUGGGGCUAAUACCGGAUAGGAGCUCCUGCUGCAUGGUGGGGGUUGGAAAGUUUCGGCGGUUGGGGAUGGACUCGCGGCUUACCAGCUUGUUGGUGGGGUAGUGGCUUACCAAGGCUUUGACGGGUAGCCGGCCUGAGAGGGUGACCGGCCACAUUGGGACUGAGAUACGGCCCAGACUCCUACGGGAGGCAGCAGGGGGGAAUAUUGCACAAUGGGUGGAAGCCUGAUGCAGCAACGCCGUGUGCGGGAUGACGGCCUUCGGGUUGUAAACCGCUUUCGCUCAUGACGAAGCUUUGUGUGACGGUAGUGGGUAAAGAAGCACCGGCUAACUACGUG
rnacentral:rRNA from 1 species